GACAAACGCUGGCGGCGUGCGUAAAACAUGCAAGUCGCACGGCCCCUUCGGGGGCAGUGGCAGACGGCUGAGUAACGCGUAGGAAUCUACCCUCCAGUGGGGAAUAACGGGCCGAAAGGUCCGCUAAUACCGCAUACGGUCCCGGGGAACCGGGAAGAAAGCCGCAAGGUGCUGGAGGAGGAGCCUGCGUCCGAUUAGCUGGUUGGUGGGGUAACGGCCUACCAAGGCGACGAUCGGUAGCUGGUCUGAGAGGAUGAUCAGCCAGACUGGGACUGGGACACGGCCCAGACUCCUACGGGAGGCAGCAGUUAGGAAUUUUGGGCAAUGGCCGCAAGGCUGACCCAGCAACGCCGCGUGGGGGACGAAGGCUCUCGGGUCGUAAACCCCUUUUCCGAGGGACGAUGAUGACGGUACCUCGGGAAUAAGCCCCGGCUAACUACGUGCCAGCCGCCGCCGUAACAC
rnacentral:rRNA from 1 species